UCGAGAAUCUUCCGCAAUGGACGAAAGUCUGACGGAGCGACGCCGCGUGCGGGAUGAAGGCCUUCGGGUUGUAAACCGCUGUCAGAGAGGCGGAAAUGCAUAGGGGUCAUCCCCUAUGUUUGACCUAAUCUCAGAGGAAGCGCAGGCUAAGUUCGUGCCAGCAGCCGCGGUGACACGAACUGCGCGAACGUUAUUCGGAAUCACUGGGCUUAAAGAGUCCGUAGGCGGCCUGGAGGGUGGGGUGUGAAAUCCCACAGCACAACUGUGGAACUGCGCUUCAAACCGCCAGGCUAGAGGGAGUCAGGGGUGAGCGGAACUGAUGGUGGAGCGGUGAAAUGCGUUGAUAUCAUCAGGAACACCGGUGGCGAAGGCGGCUCACUGGGGCUCUUCUGACGCUGAGGGACGAAAGCUAGGGGAGCGAACGGGAUUAGAUACCCCCGUAGUCC
rnacentral:rRNA from 1 species